CACAAAGCAGGUAUGCACAAACACAGGAGGUGAUUACAGUCAACAGUAGAAGUCAUUCAAAAAUGUGAGUGAGGGUAUUUUCUGAUGGUCUGGGUGAGAAUUUCCCCCCUUAAGGCAUGGCUCCUGAAGCACCCAAAACUUAGGAGGGCCUGGACCCCUGGCCCAAGCAAUAUACCUACUGGUGCCAGAGGGCAGAGUGAUUACCAUGGCGGGGCCAGAGGGGGGAGCAACAACCACAUCGAAGCAAGACGAGGAAUCAACAGUGGUGUGGUCGAGCAUCAGCUGUGGACAUGAAUGUCGGAGUGGGUCCAGUGCCACCGCCCCACGAAGCCAUGCAGCUGGUGGAGGAUCACAUGAUGGAAGAGAUCAAGUUCCUGAAACUGACGAUAAGACAACAGAGUCUAGAAUAAAAGGAAGAGUUCCAGAAACUGGCCAUAAGACAACAGAGGCUAGAACAAACGGAUGUUGAUGAACUCAUACACAGGGCACUCAGCUGUUACCGAGCUGAUGGUAUUGGAAUGACAGACUACGCGCUGGAGUCUUUAGGCACCCCUGUGAUAGCCAGUACAGAGACCAAUAAAACUAAAUACUGCAAAGUGUUUGGCAUUAGUGUAGGGUGCAACAUUAAUGGCCCUGUGUCGUGAUAGACCGACAGCCGGCGCACAAGGAACUAAAAUCGCUCCUUCCCUGACUGCCACGCUGGCGCUGAAGAGACGGCCCCUCGUCAAGAACUCUGACAGCCAGAAAGCACAUGGCGGUGGGGCAGAGCCGCCGACACACCUCGGCCAGUGAAUGGUGCGCCGCCCGGGAAAAAUCCACCAUCCAGCAGAAUAUGGGAAAGUAUCAAAGGCCGCUCUUCCUCUCGUUCGGGGAGAAUGAUCUCACAUGAGAUGUGCGCGUGGCUUCUUCAUAACACUCAUUGUUGUUUGACAUUUCCGGCGUUAACUAAUCGGCAUUCUCUCUCUCUCUCUCUCUCUCUCUCUCUCUCUCUCUCUCUCUCUCUCUCUCUCUCUCUCUCUCUCUCUCUGUGUGUGUGCGCGCGCGCGUUUGGUUUCUUUCAGAAGAUUCAGAUCCAGGCGAGGCCUCCGUUCCCUGACUGCGCGCGCGGCGUUGCCUGACGGCCCAAAAGAGCCCUCAUUUAUCCGGGAAGCACCGGCGUGACUCCGGUAAAAUCCUGCAAUUCCUGCCCGCACGCAAGCACACGGGAGCACACACACCCCCUGAAUACCAAAGAAAAGAAAAAUUAAUUUGACCACCUGACAACGGCCUCCUGUGUGUCUGUGCUCCACUCACCGCGGCUAAUUUCCUACACCCUGUAAAACCUAUACAGCCUAUAUAACUGUGGGGGAGACGCAUCAAAUCAUUAUAAUGUUAACUCGAACUGGAGGACACAAUAUAGUGUGAUACAAUAACAAAACAAUUCAUUUGUAUUUUCAUACACCAGUAAUAUAAUUAAUGUUUUACAUAUAUCUCUAUAUCCUUUUUUAUUGAAACCAUUUCUUGAAAGGAAACCAGUUGAGGUGCUGAUGACAUGAAAUAUAAAUAUUAAGUGGAAAGACGUAAUAGUGGUAUUUUUGUUACAUUCAUGUUGUAACGGAUAGCUGCACAGUGACGCAGAGGCAGAGUCCGUUCCAUUCCGUGGUGUUUUAAUUAACGGAAGAAAAAAAAAAGAGAUGAAGAGAAGGGUAUGGUCUUCGGAAGCAAUAAAAAGAACAGGUGACCAGGUGAGAGGAAGGUGGGAAUGGCGGAAUUGAUGGUGUGCGUUUGCCAGGGACCAUGCUAGUGCUCUUACUGUGGAUUAUAACCUUGUGGAUAUUGAUUCAGGAGGCUAGCAAACACUUCGAAAAUAUUCUGCCAAGGUGAAUCAACGAGCGAGCGGAGUUUUGAGGGUUCGGAGGCCCAUCACGGGUUUGAGAUCCUUUCUUUAAUACUUUUGUGGAGAACCAGUAUGCUUAAAUCGUUGGAUGUUAGAUUCUGUAAAGAACUCCGAGUGUUAAGCGGAAUCUGACUGCCGGUUUCCCAUGCUUUCGGGUUCACGAACUCCCGUAUGCCUAAAUCACCGCCAUUGAAGUGCUGCUUUAAAAGUGAACAACUUUUUUUUGUUUUGGUUAAGAAUUAUUUUGGGGUUAAAUGGGUUUUUUUUUAUUUUUAUUUUAUGUAUUUAUU
ensembl:lncRNA